CGGUGGAAUAGUUCCCGGACCGUUCGCACACACCGCCCGUCAAGCCAUGGAAGCUGGGUGUACCUAAAGUCGGUAACCGUAAGGAGCCGCCUAGGGUAAAACUAGUGACUGGGGCU
rnacentral:rRNA from 1 species